AUCUACUAAAAGAAGCCUUUAUGUAAAGAAAUACUGACCAAAUAUGGACCGUGAGAUCUGGGAAUGAAUGGCCACGAUCUGAUGUUGUGAACGAUUUCUUUGGGUCAUAAUAGGAGUGUUCUGUGUCAUGUAAGGGUAAUUUAGGUAUAGAAAAUAUAAACAACUGCCUUCUAUUUUUUAAGAGCGGAUUAAUUGGGAUCAUUACUCCACACGUUAUUAAUCUGAUUCUUCGGUUCCUGCGCCAUUCAAUUCGUCUCUCUCACCAAAAUCUGAACUCAAAAAACCCAAACCCUAGAAUCUGCUCUAAAAACCACCCAAAUCUUCUUGGCAUCUGAAUUGCCCAAACCAUACAAAGCUCUAAAAAUUAGACGUCCCCUCCAAUAUUUCAUCGUCGCUUGCACCAAAAAUCGCCUCUGCCAGAUAAACCGUUUCCUCGACCAAAAACCUAGUCCGAAUCCAAAACUCGGCGAAGAAGGGGAAGAAAAUAUCUAAUUCAACCAUGGUCAACACUAGAGCAUCUGGAUCCACUACUCAUGACGGAAAAGGUUAGUAAGAUGUUGUAACCCAUGAAUUGAAGUUGACAAAAUCAGGCCGAUUAAUAACUUCAGUUUGCUGUUCACGUAGUUUAUCAGAGAACGUCCUCGAAGAAAAAGCUACCAAGGAUCCCAAAAGCUCCGACAAGAAAUACGAUACCAAAUUCUGGUAUUUUGAUGCAUGUAGUUUUGAUUCUAUUUUGGAAUUUGGUAUUUAAUUGUGGUUUUUUGUUUCAUAACCAAAAGUCCAAAAUUCAACAGAACCCUAUACUGAAGCCAUUCCUGAUAUCCAUGACAUAAAUCAAGGUUAAAGUUAUAUAUUUUUAACCUUAUUGUAGCUCUGCUCUUUAAUAACUGAUGAAUAAGUAAGCCAUAUAUGUAAAAAGAGUUAUGGAAUAAAUGAAUAUUUAUACGCUUUGUUUGUUGUAAUGCUAUACGAUAAUUUAUUUAUGUUUCAGUUAUGGAAACACAUAGCAAAGUCAUUCCACAAAUUGAAAUAGAGAAAGAGUCUGCAGGUGAUUUACCCAUUUCUGGAAAAGGGAUGUCAAUCGGGCCGGCCCAUCGGGUUUCGGGCCAACCCGCUCGGGUUGCGGGCCAAU